rnacentral:rRNA from 1 species
CGGACGGGUGAGUAAUGUCUGGGAAAAUGCCUGAUGGAGGGGGAUAACUACUGGAAACGGUAGCUAAUACCGCAUAACGUCGCAAGACCAAAGAGGGGGACCUUAGGGCCUCUUGCCAUCGGAUGUGCCCAGAUGGGAUUAGCUAGUAGGUGGGGUAACGGCUCACCUAGGCGACGAUCCCUAGCUGGUCUGAGAGGAUGACCAGCCACACUGGAACUGAGACACGGUCCAG